GGUACGCGAGCUGGGUUCAGAACGUCGUGAGACAGUUCGGUCCCUAUCCGUCGCAGGCGUAGGAAAUUUGAGAAGACCUGUCCUUAGUACGAGAGGACCGGGAUGGACGUACCUCUGGUGUACCAGUGGUUCUGCCAAGGGCAUGGCUGGGUAGCUAUGUACGGAAUGGAUAAGCGCUGAAAGCAUCUAAGCGCGAAGCCAACUUCAAGAUAAGAUUUCCCACCGAAAGGGUAAGACCCCAGAAAGACUAUCUGGUUG
rnacentral:rRNA from 1 species